CACGUAGGGGGCAAGCGUUGUCCGGAUUUAUUGGGCGUAAAGAGCUCGUAGGUGGCUCGGCAAGUCGGGUGUUAAACCCCCAGGCUCAACCUGGGGACGCCAUUCGAUACUGGGCGGCUAGAGUCUGGUAGGGGGAUCUGGAAUUCCUGGUGUAGCGGUGGAAUGCGCAGAUAUCAGGAGGAACACCGGUGGCGAAGGCGGGAUCCUGGGCCAGUACUGACGCUGAGGAGCGAAAGCGUGGGGAGCGAUCCGG
rnacentral:rRNA from 1 species